CGGCGGCAGGCUUACACAUGCAAGUCGAACGGUAGCAGGAGAAAGCUUGCUUUCUUGCUGACGAGUGGCGGACGGGUGAGUAAUGCUUGGGAAUCUGGCUUAUGGAGGGGGAUAACUACUGGAAACGGUAGCUAAUACCGCGUAAUAUCGGAAGAUUAAAGGGUGGGACCUUUGGGCCACCUGCCAUAAGAUGAGCCCAAGUGGGAUUAGGUAGUUGGUGGGGUAAAGGCCUACCAAGCCGACGAUCUCUAGCUGGUCUGAGAGGAUGGCCAGCCACACUGGAACUGAGACACGGUCCAGACUCCUACGGGAGGCAGCAGUGGGGAAUAUUGCACAAUGGGGGGAACCCUGAUGCAGCCAUGCCGCGUGAAUGAAGAAGGCCUUCGGGUUGUAAAGUUCUUUCGGUGAUGAGGAAGGUGUUUUGUUUAAUAGACAAAGCAAUUGACGUUAGUCACAGAAGAAGCACCGGCUAACUCCGUGCCAGCAGCCGCGGUAAU
rnacentral:rRNA from 1 species